rnacentral:rRNA from 1 species
UACGUAGGGUGCAAGCGUUGUCCGGAAUUAUUGGGCGUAAAGAGCUCGUAGGCGGUCUGUCGCGUCUGCUGUGAAAACUCAGGGCUUAACCCCGGACUUGCAGUGGGUACGGGCAGACUAGAGUGUGGUAGGGGAGACUGGAAUUCCUGGUGUAGCGGUGAAAUGCGCAGAUAUCAGGAGGAACACCGAUGGCGAAGGCAGGUCUCUGGGCCACUACUGACGCUGAGAAGCGAAAGCAUGGGGAGCGAACAGG